rnacentral:rRNA from 1 species
UAAGCGGAGGAAAAGAAACCAACAGGGAUUGCCUUAGUAGCGGCGAGUGAAGCGGCAAAAGCUCAAAUUUGAAAUCUGGCUCUUUCAGAGUCCGAGUUGUAAUUUGAAGAAGGUAUCUUUGGGUCUGGCUCUUGUCUAUGUUUCUUGGAACAGAACGUCACAGAGGGUGAGAAUCCCGUGCGAUGAGAUGAUCCAGGCCUAUGUAAAGUUCCUUCGAAGAGUCGAGUUGUUUGGGAAUGCAGCUCUAAGUGGGUGGUAAAUUCCAUCUAAAGCUAAAUAUUGGCGAGAGACCGAUAGCGAACAAGUACAGUGAUGGAAAGAUGAAAAGAACUUUGAAAAGAGAGUGAAAAAGUACGUGAAAUUGUUGAAAGGGAAGGGCUUGAGAUCAGACUUGGUAUUUUGUAUGUUACUUCUUCGGGGGUGGCCUCUACAGUUUAUCGGGCCAGCAUCAGUUUGGGCGGUAGGAGAAUUGCGUUGGAAUGUGGCACGGCUUCGGUUGUGUGUUAUAGCCUUCGUCGAUACUGCCAGCCUAGACUGAGGACUGCGGUUUAUACCUAGGA